GUAACAUGUGUGCAAUCUGCCCUUAUCAAGGGGAUAGCCCGGAGAAAUCCGGAUUAAUACCCUAUAAUAUAUGGGAUGGCAUCAUAUCAUAUUGAAAGCAUCGGCGGAUAAGGAUGAGCACGCACAAGAUUAGCUAGUUGGUAAGGUAACGGCUUACCAAGGCGAUGAUCUUUAGGGGUCCUGAGAGGGAGAUCCCCCACACUGGGACUGAGACACGGCCCAGACUCC
rnacentral:rRNA from 1 species